rnacentral:rRNA from 1 species
UACGUAGGGACCAAGCGUUGUUCGGAUUUACUGGGCGUAAAGGGCGCGUAGGCGGCGUGUCAAGUCAAUUGUGAAAUCUCCGGGCUUAACUCGGAACGGUCAAUUGAUACUGAUGUGCUAGAGUGCAGAAGGGGCAAUCGGAAUUCUUGGUGUAGCGGUGAAAUGCGUAGAUAUCAAGAGGAACACCUGAGGUGAAGACGGGUUGCUGGGCUGACACUGACGCUGAGGCGCGAAAGCUAGGGUAGCAAACAGG